rnacentral:rRNA from 1 species
GUCUACGGCCAUGCCACCCUGAACAAACCUGAUCCUGUCUGAUCUCCAAAGCUAAGCGGGGUCGGGCCUGGUUAGUACUUGGAUGGGAGACCACCUAGAAAGACCAGGUGCUCUAGGUG